GCCUUGAUAGCUCAGCGGUAGAGCGCUUCCCUGAAGAGGAAGGCGUCGGGUGUUCGACUCACCCUCAGGGCACCA
rnacentral:tRNA from 1 species